UACGUAGGGUGCAAGCGUUAAUCGGAAUUACUGGGCGUAAAGCGUGCGCAGGCGGUUGUGCAAGACAGAUGUGAAAUCCCCGGGCUCAACCUGGGAACUGCAUUUGUGACUGCACAGCUUGAGUGCGGCAGAGGGGGGUGGAAUUCCGCGUGUAGCAGUGAAAUGCGUAGAUAUGCGGAGGAACACCGAUGGCGAAGGCAAUCCCCUGGGCCUGCACUGACGCUGAGGAGCGAAAGCGUGGGGAGCGAACAGG
rnacentral:rRNA from 1 species